GGCUGCAUAGUGUAGGGGUUAUCACGGAUCCCGGUUCGAUUCUGGGGACCCCGGUUCGAUUCCGGGUGCCGUCU